GCAAAAGGGCAGCCUGGGCUCUAU
rnacentral:miRNA from 1 species